rnacentral:rRNA from 1 species
GAUGAACGCUGGCGGGAGGCCUAACACAUGCAAGCCGAGCGGUAGAGUCUCUUCGGAGACUUGAGAGCGGCGCACGGGUGCGGAACACGUGUGCAACCUGCCUUUAUCUGGGGGAUAGCCUUUCGAAAGGAAGAUUAAUACCCCAUAAUAUACUGGAUGGCAUCAUCUGGUAUUGAAAACUCCGGUGGAUAGAGAUGGGCACGCGCAAGAUUAGAUAGUUGGUGAGGUAACGGCUCACCAAGUCAGCGAUCUUUAGGGGGCCUGAGAGGGUGAUCCCCCACACUGGUACUGAGACACGGACCAGACUCCUACGGGAGGCAGCAGUGAGGAAUAUUGGACAAUGGGUGAGAGCCUGAUCCAGCCAUCCCGCGUGAAGGACGACGGCCCUAUGGGUUGUAAACUUCUUUUGUAUAGGGAUAAACCUAGAUACGUGUAUCUAGCUGAAGGUACUAUACGAAUAAGCACCGGCUAACUCCGCG